CUUUAGUAACCUGGCACAACGACUUGGUAUACUUGAGGCUAUCUAACGUUUCGCGACAUAGACUCGCACAUGACAUGUCUUGAUGUCUCUGUUUAUUUGGAAAAGCAAAUUAAACACCAGAUAAGUCCAGCGUUUGAGACAGGAUUAACUGGAAGUGAAAGUAAGCCGGACAACUACGUGCCGCAUCAAGACGCGACUCAAAAAAGCGAGCAACCCAACGCAUCAGAGACGGCUGCAUCCGAAACAGAUGUUCCGUUUUUUGGACCUGCAAACUGUCUAGAUCGUGGGGAAAUACAGUUAUCACAACAUCAACAGAUAAACCAAGUCAUUGAAGAGGCAGCAACAGCCGCUAGGGAUCGCCGGUCGCCACGCACACGCACACUCGACAGGCUCAUGACGUUGACGUCAUUUAUUUCAUCAUUUCAUCGAAAACAUAGCGUGCAGAGAGCACGCAGUCGAUAUCGUUCCCAACAUGUCAUCAAGAAUUUCCCGUAUAAAACGCUUAUUUUGUUGAUUCUUUCACUUGUGUUCAUUACUACGAACAUACUAUCCAUGCUUUUGUCGAUACUGUACCCAAACAUUAUUUACAAUGAUUCGCAGCAAUAUGUUGUUUUUACAGUGUUUAAUCGGCUUAUAUUUAUUAACAAUUGUAUAAAUCAUUUUGCGUAUGCUUUUCUUAAUAGAAAUUUUCGAAAAACAAUAAAAAGUAUCAGUCCUAGAAUAAAGGCAUAUAUGUGUAUGUAGUAUCAUGAAAAUCGAAAUGCUUGGAUACUGUGUUUCAAUGCUAUAUUACUUUUGUUUUUAGUAUGCAUGAUUUGUUAAUUUAUUUCAAGGCGACAUAGAUAUAGAUCUAGGAAGUACUUUGCAGUUCUCUUUUCGCUCGUGUUGUUUCAACGUUAUACAAUGAAAGAAGAAUAGUAUUAUGAUUAUUUAGACUGUGAACAUUAGGCGUAUAUAAAAUAUAAUGUCAAAGAUAACCAUUAUACAUAGCAACCACAAUUAAACGUUUUCUAAUUUGUAUUUUCAUUUCUUCGUCCGGUUGCCACUUUGUAAAACAGCUUUACACAAACUAUUAAAUGAAACGUGUAAUAAUUUUAAUGUGUUCUUCUUUUUAAAAAUGUACAUUGUUUUGUCAAAAUGACAUUAUUUGAUACAAACCAAACACUAUUGUUUAUAACCACUCGUUUACAUGUAAGCAUUUGUAUAGACACCUUAAUUUUAUGUUGACAUUGUUCGUAAAAACAACAAAAAGGACAAAGCAAAUUUCAUACAAGUGAUUUUGUAUACAUAUGUAAAAACACGCACAAGCUAAAUUAAUAAUAAGCGAAGUAAUCGUGAGAUAAAAGACAUCUUUUUUGUAAAACCGCUAGAAAGGAAAUUUAAAUUGGUUUUACAACAACGUCAUUACACAUCGGAUAUACCAUUAAGGAUUAUUUCUUGUGAAAAAUUGUCUAACCGCCUUAUUUGUUUGGUAUUUUCUUCCAAUAUUUGGUGUUGCGCUAUGAAUGUAUAUCGUUCGCCUGGCGAUAUGUAGAGCCAAGGUCCGGUCGCAACUUUUAAACCAUUAUCAAGAUAUUCUCUGAUGACGCAAAGUACGGGUUAUACCCAAGAAACGAACUCGAAAUAGUUUUAACCAAUCAAUGGCUUUUAUGUAAUAAAGGCUAAAUAAAUUGGUUUAAUAGACACACGAUUAAUUCAUUUAUUACUACCUAUCAAUUUUCUUAUUUUCAGGGAUUGUUCAUUCUUUCCUCGAUAUUCCUUAAAUUAAAAUGCUAACGUUAAAUGUUCAAUUUAAUAUCUGCGAUUAAAGAGAACCGUGCAUAAAUUAAAGCAUCCCUGUUAUGCUGCAGCAUUGCGUUUAUUUGCUUUAUUUAUUAUAUAUGCAUAUGAAAUAACAGUAUGUUUGUUCAAUUGACAUUUGUGUUGUCAAUAUGUUUUUAAAUACAUAAAUAGUAUUCGCAGGAUAUAUUAUCAACAAUCCUCUUCUCGUCGGUGAUGGUAAACGGAAAUAAAUCAGGGACGACACGUUCCGCUAAACUUGA